rnacentral:tRNA from 2 species
GCGGGCGUGGCGGAAUUGGCAGACGCGCGGGAUUUAGGUUCCCGUGGGGGCAACCCCGUGCAGGUUCAAGUCCUGUCGCCCGCA